CUGAUGCUCUCAUCAAGACCUUUGUCACCACACAACACUCCCAAGUGCAUGAUGGGAUGGGCAUCAGAAUCACUGCCAAUGAGAAGAUUCGACCUGACAGGGGCUCGGGGAUAGAGAAGCCCAUCGGAGAGGCCGUUCUGCAGAUCGACAUGAUGCUCGGGAAGGAACGCAAAGUCAACGUCAGAG